AUCCUGGCUCAGGACGAACGCUGGCGGCGUGCCUAAUACAUGCAAGUCGAGCGGACCGACGGGAGCUUGCUCUCAUUUGGUCAGCGGCGGACGGGUGAGUAACACGUGGGCAACCUGCCCGCAAGACCGGGAUAACUCCGGGAAACCGGAGCUAAUACCGGAUAACACCGAAGACCGCAUGGUCUUUGGUUGAAAGGCGGCCUUUGGCUGUCACUUGCGGAUGGGCCCGCGGCGCAUUA
rnacentral:rRNA from 1 species